GGGGGGAGUGACCCAAAUUGACAUACUUGCGUUUUUUCCGCUAAUUCUUUUUCGAUAGUGAGACUCAGUUCUCUCCAUCGUCUGUUUGCUGUGUGCCUAUCGCAUAUGCAGUCAGUUCAGCUGCUGUGCCCUCUCGACGUCGGUGAGUCUCUCUCAUGUUUCUCUUACUCUCCGAGCUUGUCUUGAUUGAUGUUUCUCUCUUGGUACUUAAGGCUACAUUGGUUUGUUACUCUUGAAAUGGCAAAAAAUGCCGUCAAAGCACUUCAAGUUUUUGAAAUUGUAUAGCCUCCUGAUUGUAAUGCAUAUAAUAUAUACAAUGCAUAAACCCUGAAAUCGUAUGGCCUCCUGAAAUUGUCAAAGCACGUUGGUUGGUUUGUUUCUCUCAGUACUGUCUAUUUUUGGCUUUGCUGUUGUUUUCCAAAUCAAGGCCCCACACUUAUUUAAUUAACUUCUCAGUUUAGGUAUGUCUACCCUAAUUUGUACCCCAAAUUAGGCCAUGCAGAUUUGUAGUGUGAUGCUAUCGAUAUUUCAAUCCCUUUUCUGUUAUCGGGCUAGACAUGGUUUCACUCAGGGCCAAAAAUUAAAUAUGUAGAGUAGAAAUGAACAAACAACUUUUGUUAAGAAGGAAAGAAAGAACCUCGAGUUGAAAAGGGAUUAGCACCACCUACCCAAAAACGUGGAAGAGGAGCCACAAAGAACCUCGAAUUUGGCAAGAUUCGAAAGUAUGGGCCGCGCUGACCAUGAAGGAUGGUGAGACAUCACCAUGUUGUGAAAACUGUACAAUAUUUACAAGUAGGCUUACAUGGUUGGUGAAGCACCAUAUCGACCUGAGUCACCCAAGCUGGCAUGGUUUACAAGAUAAUGAGAAGGAAGAGUUGAUUGCUCGAAUUCGGCUAAUAUAACACAAACUCAUACUAGCACAUGUCCCAAUGUAUUUUGAGUUAUUAUUUGUGUUACCAGAUAAUUAAUGUGUUUGUUGUUUGUCUCUAGGCCAACUUCGUCCUUGACUAGACAAAGAAGAAUCAACACGAUACAGUAACGAAGUCACUUAGGAAGAGGUUCAAUCAUAUUCAUUGUGACCUUCACAAAAUAUACAAGAGUUACGAGAUGAAUGAAGAAGCUUUUGCGAAUGUGCCAGAGUUGGUGACACCAACUACUUGAAUGAAGUUAUGUGCUCGAUGGUUAAGCGCGAAAUUUAGGGUGUGGAGGCUGAUAGGAGCUCAUAAGGUCUGGAUUUACGUCAAACAAAGUACAUUUGUGGUCUCUUAGAACGGACUAAAAUGGCUGGUGCCAAGCCACUUGCAUCGCCUACGGUAGCAAGUACUAAAUUGUCCAGUACAGAAGGAGAACUACUAUCUGAUCCUUCAACUUAUUUCCAAAUCAUUGGGGCACCCCAAUACUGCAUAAUUACAUGUCCGGAUAUUUCUUACGCUGUUAACUAGCUAUGUCAAUAUAUGCACCAGCUAAGAACUCCACACUGGCAAGCUAUGAAGCGAGUUCUUUGCUACUUAAAGGGCACUGUAAACCAUAGUUUGUUCUACAUACCUAUUGUGACUCGGAUUGGACAGACAAUCUAGAUGACAGGAGGUCUACCAUUGGCUAUGGAGUUUUCUUGAAAAGAAACCUGGUUUCUUGGAGCUCCAAGAAACAGAUCGCGGUCUUUCAUUUGAGUACCGAAGCUGAGUACCGUUCAAUGGCACUCACUACAGCUGAGGUCUAUUGGCUUUGAAUGAUUUUCAAAGAAUUAGCUAUUGGUCUAGUCCACAUAUUGACGACUAUAUGGUGCGAUAACAUUAGGGAAAUUGCACUCUUUUCAAAUCCAAUGUUCCAUGCAAGAACGAAGCAUGUAGAGAUUGACUAUCAUUUUAUUCAAGAGAAAGUAUGCAACAAUGAUAUUAAAGUCCAACAUGUCUCAAUAGUGGAUCAAAUAGCAUAUGUCUUCACCAAAGGGCAAACUACACAACGUUUUCAGUAUCUCAAAAGCAAAUUAAUGGUCUGUCAAAACCCCCAUUAAUUCGAGGGGUGUUAGACUACCAGAAUCUUCAUUAGCAUCUUCAGCAGAAAAUCCAGGAGCAUGUGCACCUAUUAUUAACUCCAUACAUUCUGUUACUAAUUCAAAAGAACCUAGCUAGUUAGCUGAACUUUCUCCUACAAAUGUGUACUUGAUUGUUUCCUUAUUUUGCUCAUGUUUGUUUACUUA